rnacentral:rRNA from 1 species
GCCUUAUAUUUUUUAUUUAAGGUAUUACCUGCUCAAUGCGAAUAGUAAAUAGCCGCAGUAUUUUGACUGUGCAAAGGUAGCAUAAUAAAUUGGCCUUUAAUUGGGGUCUGGAAUGAAUGGUUUGACAAGGAUUUAACUGUCUCUAUUUAAAAAUUUUUGAAAUUAAACUGUUUGUAAAAAUGCACACAUAAAAGAGAGGGACGAGAAGACCCUAUAGAUCUUUGAAAAUGUCUUUGGUUUAAUUAAGAAUUGGGGAUUUUUUUUAUUUGGGGAAAAUCCUGAAAUAAAAGAAUUUCGGUUAAUUUAAAGAUUUAUAAUAAUUGAUUAUUGAUCCAUAGAAUUUAUGAAAGAAUGAAAAAGUUACCUUAGGGAUAACAGGACAAUGAUUUUCUUAAAGGCCUUAUUUUUGAAAGCGUUUGUUACCUCGAUGUUGAAUUAAGUUAUCUAAUAAUAAGGAGAAAUAUAUAAAGUUGGUCUGUUCGACCAUUAAAAAC